UCUUUCCACACCUCAGCCUCCUCAUCUGUAAAAUGGGUCUAACAGAGGGGCACUUACCUCGUAAGGCGGUGGUGAGGAUGGCAUGAAUUAAUACACGUGAAAUACCUGGACCAGUCCUACCCACCACUAAGCAUCAUCUAAGUCUCAGAUGUCACUGUUACCACUAGUUUUACCCUUGGCUUCCUCAGGCAAUACCACCCAGAUUAGCCAGUCAAACGUUUAUGGAAGGCCAAGGACUCAGAGAUUUUGAGAUGCUCAGUAAGAAAAAACAAUAGAAACAAAUCAAAGCAAGCAUUCAGGAGAAAUAGACAAAGUGAGAAGUGUACAGGUUGGGCAAUAAUUUCAUGUGUUGCAAUAAUUCUUUGAGGACAUAAUUUCAAAUUCCAAAGCAAUUCAGAGUAGCUUUUAAAGAAAGAUAAAUAAAAAUCAAUCACAUUCACACAGAUCAAUUAGAACCCCGAGGCCUGGUUCAUUUUGGACAAUUCAAGGCUAUGUUUACAUCAUCAGGGAUUACCUUUGCCCUGAUGGUGUCUUGUGUUUUCUAACUGGCCUCCAUCCAGUGAAUUGCUUAAAGGCACCAGCACAGGGGCGGGAGGGUCAUGAGUACCAAGUGGUUUACACCAAGUCAUGUAGGAGGACAGACCUCAUUCCUCUGUUCCUUCCUAGAGCCAUUCCAUCGGCUCCCAGCUCCCUUGGCAGGAUACUGUGGUCAUGGGGGCAAGAAUGGGACUCUGGUGCUCUUCCUGCUUCCUUCUUUUGGUUGCUACCUAUGGCACUUCUUAUUCAUCACUGGCCUGAGAAAGUUUCCCAGAUGGAGGCUUCAGGUUUCUCCUUUGUUACUCUAAGUUUUCCCACUCUUGCAAAGACGCGGGGGGACUGUGUUGGCUCUCUUUGGAACGUGAGUAUCUAGAUGAAGCAACUUGGUUCCUACAGUUGGGUGAGUGGAUGCUAAAUCUUUCCAAGGAAACAUUAAAAGUAACGUUGGAAGUCUUCAGCUGGUAGAGUACAGAAGGAACAAAUGGCAAGGAACAGGCCAGCAUCUGUUUCCCCUAAUCGACCUUUGCCAGAAAGUAGGAGUCACAGGCUGCCCCUGAAGGAGGACACUUACUCCCUAAAGCACAGAUGCCACCAUGGUGUUCAGCUUCCAGCUACGUGCAGGGUGUGUGUGUGUGUGUGUGCGUGUGUGCGCGCGCACACAUGUAUAUUGGUGGCGCCCAACCAUGGAUGGGUGUGUUCUGAGAAGGCCCCUGCUUUAAGCAGAGUUUUAACCUGGGUAAUAUAUAUAUAUAUAUAUAUUUAAAGAUUUUAUUUAUUCACUUGAUGCAGAGAGAGAGCACAAGCAGGAGCAGAAGGAGAGGGAGAAGCAGGCUCCCCGCCAAACAGAGAGCUUGACAUGGGGCUGGAUCCCAGGACCCUGGGAUCAUGACCUGAGCCAAAGACAGACCCUCAACCAACUGAGCCGCCCAGGUGCCCCAACCUGGAUAAUAUUCUUACGUGCAAAGAUAAGGAUAUGAGGCCCCGAGAGGACAAGUGUCCCAGCCUGCUGGAGAGUCAGGGUUAUUGGUGGACCCCCUGACUCAUGAUCCAAGACUACUGCACCGUGCUGCUCCCCAGUUGCAAGAGAAGAACAUGAUUUUCUAAGCAAUGACAUCCAUUAGGAGUAAAAUAUGAGCAUUAUGUGCAGCCUGCCCUGCUGAGUUUAGAAAGGUUUAAUCUCUUCACAAGCUAAGGGCAAAGUUAGUUAGGAAGCUACUUUAAUUCUCCCAAUAAGAUAAUCAAAUGGUGUAUAUGGUCUGCCUUUAGGUCACUGAUCCCCAAAGCUGAAUAAACUAUGGACCCCUUUAAAGGAAAAUAAUCCUCAAAGACCUAUGGUAUACUUCCUUAGCCAGCACUGGAGAAUAAUUUUUAAAAAAUAUUUAUUCAUUUAUUUGAGAGAGAAAGAUAGCGAGCAAGAGAGAGAGAGAGCACGACCAGGGGGAGAGAGGGAGAAGCUCCCUCCGUCAAGCAGGGAGCCCAUGAUGGGGCUCAAUCCCAGAACCCCGGGACCACGACCUGAAUCAAAGGCAGACACCUAAUCAACCGAGUCACCCAGGCACCCUGAGAAACAUUUUCUUAAGAAAGCUAAAAUCUCAUUCUUUGAACAUGAGUUUCAACUGAGAACUGUCACUGAUAAAGGACAUUUGGUAAAAUGAAAGCAUCAAACUUAAACAUCCUUCCUAACCCCUGUGACCCCCACCUCCUCGCAAGAAUAUGUCCCUGAAAUUCAACUUGAGAAACACUGUUCUAGCUCAGAACUCAUCUCUUGUUCUCUUCUCUGGACCCAUUAACGAACUCCUUUCCAGUUUGUUCCUAUCCACCUUUGCUCCUGGGAUAGCUACCUUUUGUACAGAAUGGAUUAAAACGAUAUUUAUUUAUUUAGUU